rnacentral:rRNA from 1 species
CCUACGGGAGGCAGCAGUGAGGAAUAUUGGUCAAUGGACGAGAGUCUGAACCAGCCAAGUAGCGUGAAGGAUGACUGCCCUAUGGGUUGUAAACUUCUUUUAUAUGGGAAUAAAACAGGGUAUGCAUACCCUCUUGUAUGUACCAUAUGAAUAAGGAUCGGCUAACUCCGUGCCAGCAGCCGCGGUAAUACGGAGGAUCCGAGCGUUAUCCGGAUUUAUUGGGUUUAAAGGGAGCGUAGGUGGAUUGUUAAGUCAGUUGUGAAAGUUUGCGGCUCAACCGUAAAAUUGCAGUUGAAACUGGAAGUUUUGAGUACAGUAGAGGUGGGCGGAAUUCGUGGUGUAGCGGUGAAAUGCUUAGAUAUCACGAAGAACUCCGAUUGCGAAGGCAGCCUGCCAAGCCAUGACUGACGCUGAUGCACGAAAGCGUGGGGAUCAAACAGGAUUAGAUACCCUGGUAGUC